UUUCUCUGCUGCUGAUCUGGGCUGCCUCCCUUCCUAACAGAUCAAAGGAAUUAAAUUUGGGACAACCACCCCCCCUAGUACUGCUGGAAUGGAAGAGGCCAAUUAGUGCGGGAAACCACCUGAAACUAUAAAUACGUGGAGAGCAAGGCCCGCCUGCCGCAGUCUGGAGAGGAGUCCGGGAGGAGGAGGAGGAGUUGUGCAGGGUGCAGCUGCAUGCCUGCCUGCAUGCGUAUUCGCGUUGGACGUUGGUGCGUCACAGACUCACACAGUCACUGCUGGACUCUGAGUUCCAUAUUACCUACUGUAGCCUAGCCUGGACAAUUGCCUCUGCAUGAAUUACUCAGUGUGGCCCUGCAUACACCACCUGCUAAUCUUCACUAAUUGCCUCUUCUACCUUACGGAUACUGGAAAUUUGGUACAUCUCUUCUACCUUACUGAUACUGGAAAUUUGGUACAUCUCUUCUACCUUACUGAUACUGGAAAUUUGGUACAUCUCUUCUACCUUACUGAUACUGGAAAUUUGGUACAUCUCUUCUACCUUACUGAUACUGGAAAUUUGGUACAUCACAGACAGCGCUGCCCAUAUAGGAAACCUACUGUAGCCUGGAUGGUUGCCUUGCUUUUGCUGGAAUAACUCAGUGUGGCCCUGCAUACACCGCCUGCUAAUCUUCACUGUAAGUAACACCACAAACUGUUAUUGUAUUGUUCCUACUGAUGCCUCUGCACCUCAGAUGUUUACGUCUUUUCGACAAACCACAAAAUUGGCCAUACCUGACCAAGUAUAUUAGUAAAAGUAAUUGUUAACAGAGUAGA